rnacentral:rRNA from 1 species
AACGCUGGCGGCGUGCCUAAUACAUGCAAGUCGAGCGAACAGACAAGGAGCUUGCUCCUUUGACGUUAGCGGCGGACGGGUGAGUAACACGUGGGUAACCUACCUAUAAGACUGGGAUAACUUCGGGAAACCGGAGCUAAUACCGGAUAAUAUUUCGAACCGCAUGGUUCGAUAGUGAAAGAUGGUUUUGCUAUCACUUAUAGAUGGACCCGCGCCGUAUUAGCUAGUUGGUAAGGUAACGGCUUACCAAGGCGACGAUACGUAGCCGACCUGAGAGGGUGAUCGGCCACACUGGAACUGAGACACGGUCCAGACUCCUACGGGAGGCAGCAGUAGGGAAUCUUCCGCAAUGGGCGAAAGCCUGACGGAGCAACGCCGCGUGAGUGAUGAAGGUCUUCGGAUCGUAAAACUCUGUUAUUAGGGAAGAACAUACGUGUAAGUAACUAUGCACGUCUUGACGGUACCUAAUCAGAAAGCCACGGCUAACUACGUGCCAGCAGCCGCGGUAAUACGUAGGUGGCAAGCGUUAUCCGGAAUUAUUGGGCGUAAAGCGCGCGUAGGCGGUUUUUUAAGUCUGAUGUGAAAGCCCACGGCUCAACCGUGGAGGGUCAUUGGAAACUGGAAAACUUGAGUGCAGAAGAGGAAAGUGGAAUUCCAUGUGUAGCGGUGAAAUGCGCAGAGAUAUGGAGGAACACCAGUGGCGAAGGCGACUUUCUGGUCUGUAACUGACGCUGAUGUGCGAAAGCGUGGGGAUCAAACAGGAUUAGAUACCCUGGUAGUCCACGCCGUAAACGAUGAGUGCUAAGUGUUAGGGGGUUUCCGCCCCUUAGUGCUGCAGCUAACGCAUUAAGCACUCCGCCUGGGGAGUACGACCGCAAGGU